UACGUAGGGGGCAAGCGUUGUCCGGAUUUAUUGGGCGUAAAGAGCGUGUAGGCGGCCAAGCAGGUCAGCUGUGAAAACUCGAGGCUCAACCUCGAGACGUCGGUUGAAACCGCUUGGCUAGAGUCCGGAAGAGGAGAGUGGAAUUCCCGGUGUAGCGGUGAAAUGCGCAGAUAUCGGGAAGAACACCCGUGGCGAAGGCGGCUCUCUGGGACGGUACUGGACGCUGAGACGCGAAAAGCGUGGGGGAGCGAACAGGG
rnacentral:rRNA from 1 species